GGUUGUAGCUCAGUGGUAGAGCGCUGUCCUUAUACGCAUGAGGCCCUGGAUUCGAUCCUCAGCACCA
rnacentral:tRNA from 1 species